rnacentral:rRNA from 1 species
GACGAACCGUGCGAACGUUAUUCGGAAUCACUGGGCUUAAAGGGUGCGUAGGCUGGUUGCCAAGUCUGUGGUGAAAUCCUCCGGCUUAACCGGAGAACUGCCGUGGAUACUGGCGACCUCGAGUGGGGUAGGGGCUUGCGGAACUGUGCGUGGAGCGGUGAAAUGCGUUGAUAUCAGGAGGAACACCGGUGGCGAAGGCGGCUCUCUGGACCACAACUGACGCUGAGGCGCGAAAGCUAGGGGAGCAAACAGG